UUCCAGACUCCUACGGGAGGCAGCAGUGAGGAAUAUUGGUCAAUGGGCGGGAGCCUGAACCAGCCAAGUCGCGUGAGGGAAGACGGUCCUACGGAUUGUAAACCUCUUUUGCCGGGGAGCAACGGGGUCCUUGCGAGGGCCCGAUGAGAGUACCCGGAGAAAAAGCAUCGGCUAACUCCGUGCCAGCAGCCGCGGUAAUACGGAGGAUGCGAGCGUUAUCCGGAUUUAUUGGGUUUAAAGGGUGCGUAGGCGGAUUUUUAAGUCAGCGGUAAAAUGUCCGGGCUCAACCCGGGCCGGCCGUUGAAACUGGGGAUCUUGAGUGGGCGAGAAGUAUGCGGAAUGCGUGGUGUAGCGGUGAAAUGCAUAGAUAUCACGCAGAACUCCGAUUGCGAAGGCAGCAUACCGGCGCCCGACUGACGCUGAGGCACGAAAGCGUGGGGAUCGAACAGGAUUAGAUACCCUUGUA
rnacentral:rRNA from 1 species